rnacentral:tRNA from 1 species
GGGGUUGUAGCUCAGUGGUAGAGUGCUUGCCUGGCAUGUGUGAGGCACUGGGUUCAAUCCUCAGCACCA